UGAAGGCAUUAUCAAAAAGCAAUUUACCACUUGGCUGUCUAUUGUAUCACCCUGCCACAGGCCCUCCCAGUCAACACCACCUCAUAAGAUGAGGAAGUACAUUGUUGAGGAUUGCCUGUUGUAGUUGUUGGAGAGAUGUCCAGUUUGCAGCCGAACAUGCAACAUAGAGAAGACCAGCAAGGGGAACCCUCAGCAUCACGCAUACAUGACUUCGCUUUGAGCCUUCCUAUAAAUAGUACAGGGAGGACACUUAAAUCAGUAUAUUUGAUGAGGGGCCAGGAGCUGAUCUACGCUGCUAUGCCCAUGAAUUGGGUGCUGGCAUAAAUACCUUAUCUCCAGCCUCACCUCUUGCAUGCUCACCGACGGUCGUUGAUGGGGAGACCAGAAUUGGAUGCAUAUAUGGAGCCAGCACCUGCCAGCACUUGCAAGAUGAUGUGAUGGAGUCCAGACCUGGCACUCUGCAUUAAUAUUGCAUAUAGAUUGUGGCUUCUAUCAAUGUAAUUGUCUGCAUAAUUUCCAAUCCCCCAUAUAUAUUGUAUUGUAAAUAUAUAUAUUAUGUCAAAUAUAUAUUUUUUUUAUAUUUUCAAUGUUAUUAUUUUCCACUAACCCUACCACCCCUCCCCUAAUUGGAGUAAACUAAUGGACAACAACACUUAGGCUUCUACUUCUAGCUUAUACAGUACAUACUAUAUAUUUUGCAUUAGUUAUCUUUCUUUUUUCCCCCCCAUCUCUGAAGACCAUCCAGUAUGGAUUUCUUGCUGCCAUAUAUUGUCACACCGGGCUGUGAAAAAUCUACACAACUUUUACCUGUAAUGUCUUUUUUAUUAUUGAAUUGAAUGGUAUCAGUCAAUAUGGGGAGGGAGAAACCCUGUGUAUUCUGCACUAGGAUCAGGGAACUCCUGCUGUAUACGGGACACCACACAGGAAGGUAUGACCACUCUGACAUGUUUGCCAAGGUAGCCCCAUUACCACCAGACAAAAUGGACACGGCGGGGAUUGACAAUGAAAGGUGAAACAUGCACAUUGUUAUAUUAGCAGAACACUGCUUCUAUGGUAUUAUGUAAAGGGUUGUUUACUCUACUUGGACCUGUUACUACAUUUGAAAUGUAUCAAAACACUUGGUUUAGAAUAUCUACAUAAAUUCAUCAAUUGCCUUCUUAUCAUAUUACUCUAUAGGUUACUGACCUAUUCAAAGCUUCCUCCAGCAUCUCACCAUACAUCUGCCUGUAGUUAUUGAACUCAACCUGCAGGAGGUUUAUUUGUUGUGAUUGAACAAAGCUCUUAGGAAGUGCCUUUUUAGGUUUUAUGUUUCUCCUAAGUUAAGUGUAUUAGUCAAUAAAAUAACAGAAAGCACAUUAAAGCCAUCAACACUGUUAGUUAGGUGGCUAACGUUAGUUAGGAUAUGGGUUAAGGGUAGGGUUAAG